rnacentral:rRNA from 1 species
GACGAACGCUGGCGGCGUGCUUAACACAUGCAAGUCGAACGGAAAGGCCUGCUUUCCCUUGUGGUUUGCGGGUGCUCGAGUGGCGAACGGGUGAGUAACACGUGAGUGAUCUGUCCCCAACUUGGGUAUAAGCCUGGGAAACUGGGUCUAAUUCCCGAUAGGACUGCAGGGUGGUGCCUGUGGUGGAAAACGAUUUUCUAGUGGUUGGGGAUGAGCUCGCGGCCUAUCAGCUUGUUGGUGGGGUAAUGACCUACCAAGGCGGCGACGGGUAGCCGGCCUGGGAGGGUGGACGGCCGCAUUGGGACUGGGAUACGGCCCAGACUCCUACGGGAGGCAGCAGUGGGGAAUAUUGCACAAUGGGCGGAAGCCUGAUGCAGCGACGCCGCGUGGGGGAUGACGGCCUUCGGGUUGUAAACUCCUUUCGACCGCGAGGAAGCCACCUGGUUGGAAGGGUGGUGACGGUAGUGGUAGAAGAAGCACCGGCUAACUACGUG